rnacentral:rRNA from 1 species
AGAGUUUGAUCCUGGCUCAGAUUGAACGCUGGCGGCAUGCCUUACACAUGCAAGUCGAACGGUAACAGGUCUUCGGAUGCUGACGAGUGGCGAACGGGUGAGUAAUACAUCGGAACGUGCCCGAUCGUGGGGGAUAACGAGGCGAAAGCUUUGCUAAUACCGCAUACGAUCUACGGAUGAAAGCGGGGGAUCUUCGGACCUCGCGCGGACGGAGCGGCCGAUGGCAGAUUAGGUAGUUGGUGGGAUAAAAGCUUACCAAGCCGACGAUCUGUAGCUGGUCUGAGAGGAUGAUCAGCCACACUGGGACUGAGACACGGCCCAGACUCCUACGGGAGGCAGCAGUGGGGAAUUUUGGACAAUGGGCGAAAGCCUGAUCCAGCCAUGCCGCGUGCAGGAUGAAGGCCUU